rnacentral:rRNA from 1 species
GACGAACGCUGGCGGCGUGCUUAACACAUGCAAGUCGAACGGACAGACCCUGCGUUUGUUGGUUGCUCGUGUGGCGAACGGGUGAGUAAAACGUGAGUAACAUGCCCUUGACUUUGUGAUAACUUUACGGAACUGGGGCUAAUACCGGAUAGGAUCUCCUGCUGCGUGUGGUGGAUUGGAAAGUUUCGGCGGUUGGGGAUGGACUGGCGGCUUAUCAGCUUGUUGGUGGGGUAGUGGCUGACCAAGGCUACGACGGGUAGGCGGCCUGAGAGGUGUACCGGGCACAUUGGGACUGAGGUACGGAGCAGAAUCCUACGGUAGGCAGCGGGGGGGAGUAUGGCACAAUGGGCGGAAGCCUGAUGUGGAAACGUCGGGUUCGGGAUGCCGGCCUUCGGGUUGUAAACAGAUGUCGCCUGUGACGAAGAGUGAGUGACGGUAAUGGGUAAAGAAGCACCGGCUAACUACGUG